CCCAGGACAAAGCAUCCACUCCCGGCAAAGAAGCAAAGGUACUUGAUCAAGAGAUGGGCAGUGGGCGCUCUCCAAGAUAGAGCCAAGUUUAUCUUCGACAACAUCGAAUCCACCAGACAAAUGGCCCGGUCUUUGAAAAGUCUGCUGGACGAAGCGAUCGAGCUCGCAAGAAAAGGCAAAGGAUAGCAAGAUCAUCGCUUACUCGCAAGCUCCAAACCAAAGAAAAACCAAUCGCUAUCACUUGUACAAGUAGGUAGUGCUAGAAACUAGAAAUCCAAACCUUCGAGCGAUCGUUCUUUAGUGGACGAUGUGCUCCAGCUUC